GGGUGAUUAGCUCAGUUGGUAGAGCGUCUGCCUUACAAGCAGAAUGUCAGCGGUUCGACUCCGUUAUCACCCACCA
rnacentral:tRNA from 2 species